AGCAGCUCCAGGUGAGGGGUUCCAGGUGAGAGCGGCCAGGUGAGGUUCAGGUGAGGAGGUCCAGGUGAGGAGUUCCAGUUGAAGAUUCCAGGUGAGGGGUUCCAGGUGAGAGAGGCCAGGUGAGCAGCUCCAGGUGAGAAGUUUCAGGUGAGGGGUUCCAGGUGAAGUGUUCCAGGUGAAGAUUCCAGGUGAGGUCCAGGUGAGGGGUUCCAGGUGAUCUCCAGGCUCCUCCAGGUGAGUUCCAGGUGAGCUCCACCAGGUGAAGAGUUCCAGGUGAGCUCCAGGUGAGCUCCAGGUGAGCUCCACCAGGUGAGUUCAGGGGCCGUCGUCCAUCAGCUGCAGCGCCUCGGCCUCACCAGGUGAGGGGUUCCAGGUGAGGGAUUCCAGGUGAGGGGUUCCAGGAGAAGGAUUGCAGGUGAUCUCCAGGCUC